AACGAACGCUGGCGGCAGGCUUAACACAUGCAAGUCGAACGGGUGCAGCAAUGCAUCAGUGGCAGACGGGUGAGUAACACGUGGGAACCUUCCUAGGGGUACGGAACAACUCAGGGAAACUUGAGCUAAUACCGUAUACGUCCGUAAGGAGAAAGAUUCAUCGCCCCUAGACGGGCCCGCGUCGGAUUAGGUAGUUGGUGGGGUAACGGCCUACCAAGCCUGCGAUCCGUAGCUGAUCNGAGAGGAUGAUCAGCCACACUGGGACUGAGACACGGCCCAGACUCCUACGGGAGGCAGCAGUGGGGAAUCUUGGACAAUGGGCGCAAGCCUGAUCCAGCCAUGCCGCGUGAGUGAAGAAGGCCUU
rnacentral:rRNA from 1 species